rnacentral:lncRNA from 14 species
CUCCAGAAUGACUGCGGAAGUCACAGGCACCUUGGGCAAGGAAAAUAUGACUGAGCAUUUAACAUUUCAAGAACAGCCCUGAAUAAGCUGCUUCCUGUGGAGCACCCUGGAGUCACAGAUGAUCAACCUUGUUGAUGGAGCCAACCUUCAAGUGUCAUCCCUUUUCCCA